CACAGACCACAUACCAUGGACUUAGGGCUCAUAUUGGUUUUCUUUGUCCUUAUUUUAAAAGGUAUCCAGUGUGAUGUGCAGUUGUUGGAGUCUGGUGGAGGCUUAGUGCAGCCUGGAAAAUCCCUGAAACUCUCCUGUACAGCCUCAGAAUUCACCCUCAGUAGUUACCCAAUGAACUGGGUCCGCCAGGCUCCAGGGAAGGGGUUAGAGUGGGUCGCAUACAUUAGAAGUAAUGUAUACUAUACUGAUGCUGUGAAAGGCCGGUUCACAAUCUCCAGAGACAAUGCCAAGAACACUCUGUACCUGGAAAUGAACAGUCUGAGGUCAGAGGAUUCAGCCAUGUAUUACUGUGCAAGAGACACAGUGAGUGAAUGCUACUUUGUGCAUACUGCCAUCAUCCCCACGCCCAUUCUCUCACCAGAAAAAAUUUUAAACUUACCCAGUCUGUUACCUAUUGAUGUCGUUAGCAAUAUAGAAAGGACAGUGUUUGUGUAA